rnacentral:rRNA from 1 species
UACGGGGGGAGCAAGCGUUGUUCGGAUUUACUGGGCGUAAAGGGCGCGUAGGCGGCCAGUGCAAGUCAGUUGUGAAAUCUCCGAGCUUAACUCGGAAAGGUCAACUGAUACUGCUCGGCUAGAGUGCGGAAGGGGCAACUGGGAUUCUUGGUGUAGCGGUGAAAUGCGUAGAUAUCAAGAGGAACACCUGCGGCGAAGGCGGGUUGCUGGGCCGACACUGACGCUGAGGCGCGAAAGCUAGGGGAGCGAACGGG